GGGACAGAGGCUGGGUUCUAACCUGAGCCAUAGAAGCCACAUCCACUGCCAGGGACCCUCUGUGAACACACGAAGGUACAUGGACAGCUUAUUUGUCAUGUCACAAUGGGCUGCACAAGAAAAAUGCUUUAAAAGGCAGGAAGCUUCUUGGAGCCCAGGGUCACCGCAUUAUCGAGAUAGGAUCAGGUUUCCAGUGGAAUCAACGCCGAAGACGCAAGCUAUGAGGUCGAUGAGACGAGUGUCAGAAUGAAAUGGAGGUUUGCCGACUGGAAAAUGCCCUAUGUAAUUUCAGUCUGUCCCCUGAUCUGCUUUGGUACCUGAAAUGAGUCCUGGUACCUCGCCUUACCCUGUAAGUGCUGGAGCAACAGAACACGCACCCCCCCACCCCACUCUGGAGCAGGGCAAGCCUCCUGCUGGACGGG
rnacentral:lncRNA from 1 species